AACGAACGCUGGCGGCGCGUCUUAAGCAUGCAAGUCGAGCGGCAAGGGGGAGCAAUCCCUCCUAGAGCGGCGGACUGGUGAGUAACGCGUGGGUGACCUACCCUAAGGUUGGGGAUAGCCAUUAGAAAUAGUGGGUAAUACCGAAUAUGGUUGCGGGACUAUGGUUCUGCAAAGAAAGGGGCUUCGGCCCCGCCUUGGGAUGGGCCCGCGUCCCAUUAGCUAGUUGGUGAGGUAAGAGCCCACCAAGGCGAUGAUGGGUAGCCGGCCUGAGAGGGUGAACGGCCACACUGGGACUGAGAUACGGCCCAGACUCCUACGGGAGGCAGCAGCUAAGAAUAUUCCGCAAUGGACGAAAGUCUGACGGAGCGACGCCGCGUGGAUGACGAAGGCCGAAAGGUUGUAAAAUCCUUUUGUUACUGAAGAAUAAGGCGGGGAGGGAAUGCCCUGCUGAUGACGUUAGGUAACGAAUAAGCCCCG
rnacentral:rRNA from 1 species